GACGAACGCUGGCGGCGUGCUUAACACAUGCAAGUCGAACGGAAAGGCCCUGCUUUUGUGGGGUGCUCGAGUGGCGAACGGGUGAGUAACACGUGAGUAACCUGCCCUUGACUUUGGGAUAACUUCAGGAAACUGGGGCUAAUACCGGAUAGGAGCUCCUGCUGCAUGGUGGGGGUUGGACAGUUUCGGCGGUUGGGGAUGGACUCGCGGCUUAUCAGCUUGUUGUGGGGUAGUGGCUUACCAAGGCUUUGACGGGUAGCCGGCCUGAGAGGGUGACCGGCCACAUUGGGACUGAGAUACGGCCCAGACUCCUACGGGAGGCAGCAGUGGGGAAUAUUGCACAAUGGGCGGAAGCCUGAUGCAGCAACGCCGCGUGCGGGAUGACGGCCUUCGGGUUGUAAACCGCUUUCGCCUGUGACGAAGCGUGAGUGACGGUAAUGGGUAAAGAAGCACCGGCUAACUACGUG
rnacentral:rRNA from 1 species